rnacentral:rRNA from 1 species
UACGUAGGGUGCGAGCGUUAAUCGGAAUUACUGGGCGUAAAGCGUGCGCAGGCGGUUAUUUAAGUCAGGUGUGAAAGCCCUGGGCUUAACCUAGGAAUUGCGCUUGAGACUGGAUAGCUUGGAGUGCGGCAGAGGGAGGUGGAAUUCCACGUGUAGCAGUGAAAUGUGUAGAGAUGUGGAGGAACACCGAUGGCGAAGGCAGCCUCCUGGGCCAGCACUGACGCUCAUGCACGAAAGCGUGGGGAGCAAACAGG